GCAGGAAAGAUUAAACAAUUAACCAAUAAUCAACAAUAAAUGAAGUUUCAUUAUUGAGAUAUUGAGAUAGAAAUCAGUAAAGAAAAGACUGAGAAGGAAAACUUAAAGCAUAGAAAAGUAUCCAAUAAGGAGUACCUUUUGCAUCAUGGUCUAUGGAAUAAAAUGACAGAGAGUCGAUUUCCCGAAUUUAGGUGAUCUACUUCUUUAGGGAGGUUGAUGUUGCACAAUCAUCUCAUAUAAAAAAGUAGGAGUGAAAUGCUAUAACGAACCUAAAGAUAUCUGGUUUCUUGGGAAAUGAAUUUAAUUCAGCAGGUUGUCAAAAGUCACUCCUUCAUUAAAAGGGAGUUACUGUUGGCCUAGUAAUCCAAUGAAAGAUAAGUUUCAUUUGGCCUUUCAAAUGAGAAAUAUAACUCUUAUGACUCGAAUAUAAAGUAGAAGUAACAUUUUAAUACAAUCAUGUGGAGAAAUAGAUUUAUAUUUUCAUUGAAAACAGCACCAAGAAGGAAUUUCAACCUUAGUCAGAUUCACUAUAAUCAUAGAAUGAGUACUACUUUCUUUUAAUUUUCCUAAAGGAACUCGGCAAAAGAGUUUCCCGCCGGUUUACCAAAAACUUGUCCUUGAGGAAAAAUUUCAAGGUAAGAUCUGCUCACUGAAUAUUUAUUUUGAAGAGCCGCAGUAGCUUGACUGUGCAAAGGUAGCAUAAUAAAUAGCACCCUAAUUAGGUGAUAGAAUGAAUGAUCAGACGAGGAAAAGACUGUCUCUAGGAAAAAAAGAAAAUUAUCUUUUAAGUUAAAAGACUUAAAUAAUGAUAGAGGACGAGAAGACCCUAUAGAGCUUAGCUUGAAGGAAUUAUCAAUAGAUAACUACCUCUUAGCUUAGUUGGGGGUACUAGACAAUAAGAGUAAUUUGUCUUCAAUAUCACUCUAAUAAGAGAAAUAAAUAACCUCCAUUGGGGAAUAAAGACAAGCUACCUUAGGGAUAACAGCGUAAUUUCUAGUUUUAGUUCUUAUAGAACUGGGAGAUUGCGACCUCGAUGUUGAAUUAAGACUUCACUCAGAAGCAAAAAUUUGAGGUAGUUAGUCUGUUCGACUAUUAAAGUCUUACAUGAUUUGAGUUCAGACCGACGCGAGUCAGGUCAGUUUCUAUCCUUAUCUUUAAGUCUAAUUUUUGUACGAAAGGAUCAAAUUAGAGAUGGGAACCAUUGACUUA
rnacentral:rRNA from 1 species